rnacentral:rRNA from 1 species
UACCAGCACCCCGAGUGGUCGGGACGAUUAUUGGGCCUAAAGCAUCCGUAGCCGGUUCUGCAAGUCCCCCGUUAAAUCCAGCUGCUCAACAGAUGGGCCGCGGAGGAUACUACAGAGCUAGGAGGCAGGAGAGGCAAGCGGUACUCAGUGGGUAGGGGUAAAAUCCGUUGAUCCAUUGAAGACCACCAGUGGCGAAGGCGGCUUGCCAGAAUGCGCUUGACGGUGAGGGAUGAAAGCUGGGGGAGCAAACCGG